UUUAGGUCAAAGUUGCUGACGCCACGCUGCCGAGAAAAGCCUCUAAGGAGUGAAGUAGGUACCCGUACCGCAAACCGACACAGGUAGGCGAGGAGAAAAUCCUCAGGCGCAAGUGUGAUCCCCCGUUUAGGAACUCGGCAAAUUGACCCCGUAACUUCGGAAGAAGGGGCGCUCCUGUCUGUUAUCCGACUUGCUCGGAGAAGCGUUCGGGAGUUGCAAUAAAGAGGCUCAGGCGACUGUUUACUAAAAACACAGGGCUCUGCUAAGUCGAAUACGACGUAUAGGGUCUGACGCCUGCCCGGUGCCGGAAGGUUAAAGGGAGAGGUUAGUCGCAAGGCGAAGCUUUGAACUGAAGCCCCGGUAAACGGCGGCCGUAACUAUAAUGGUCCUAAGGUAGCGAAAUUCCUUGUCGGGUAAGUUCCGACCUGCACGAAUGGCGUAACGAUCUGAGCGCUGUCUCGACGGGGGGCACUGCGAAUUUGUGGUACCGGUGAAGACGCCGGUUGCCCGUCACAAGACGAAAAGACCCCGUGCACCUUUACUACAUCCUAGUAGUGAAUGCUGGCGCAGUAUGCGCAGGAUAGGUGGGAGGCUUUGAACCCAGGCUUUCGGGCUUGGGGGAGCCAACGGUGAGAUACCACCCUUACUGCUCCGGCGUUCUAACCUCGAUCUGUUAUCCAGUUCAGGGACACUGCUAGGUGGGUAGUUUGACUGGGGCGGUCGCCUCCUAAAGAGUAACGGAGGCGCGCGAAGGUUCCCUCAGGCUGUUUGGAAAUCAGCCAUAGAGUGCAAAGGCAUAAGGGAGCUUGACUGCGAGACCUACAAGUCGAGCAGGUGGGAAACCAGGCCUUAGUGAUCCGGUGGUUCCGCAUGGAAGGGCCAUCGCUCAACGGAUAAAAGGUACGCCGGGGAUAACAGGCUGAUCUGAGCCAAGAGUUCACAUCGACGCUCAGGUUUGGCACCUCGAUGUCGGCUCAUCGCAUCCUGGAGCUGUAGCAGGUUCCAAGGGUCCGGCUGUUCGCCGGUUAAAGCGGUACGUGAGCUGGGUUUAGAACGUCGCGAGACAGUUCGGUCUCUAUCUGUGAUGGGCGCAGGAGGUUUGAGUGGGGCUGACCUUAGUACGAGAGGACCGGGUUGGACGAACCUCUAGUGUAUCGGUUGUCACGCCAGUGGCAGCGCCGAGUAGCUACGUUCGGAAGGGAGAAACGCUGAACGCAUCUAAGCGUGAAACCCUCCACAAGAUGAGAUCUCCCAGGUCGAAGGACCUCUGAAGGCUCCUGGUAGACUACCAGGUUGAUAGGCCAGGUGUGGAAGCGCUGUGAGGCGUUGAGCUUACUGGUACUAAUGAGCCGUGAGGCUUGAC
rnacentral:rRNA from 1 species